GGGAGAGGGAGUACUUGAAAAUAAUACUGCACCGUGUCUAUGGGAAGUUUAUGGUACACCGGCCUUACAUCAGGAAGGCUAUUAAUAACAUAUUUUAUCGUUUCGUUUUUGAGACUGAAAAACAUAAUGGGAUUGCGGAGCUUCUGGAAAUUCUUGGCAGCAUAAUCAAUGGGUUUGCUUUGCCACUAAAAGAGGAACACAAGCUUUUU
rnacentral:misc_RNA from 1 species